GUAGCGCUGCUCUUGCCGCAGUGCUGUGUUUGUGCUGCGUUUUGUUAAGAGCGUAAGUCUGUUUUUGAAGCGUAAAAAAUAAAGAUAAAGAAAUAUAGAGUUUGCACCAGUGGAAACAGCACGGCACUCGGGCCUUGCCUGCAGUGGCCUCGUACUGCGGUGCUCUCACGGGCAUGCAGGCUGAUGCGCCCUUUUCCGUUGCUUUCCUGCUAUCCGCUAUGUACUAUCGUGCAUUUUCCAUCAUUUUGGAUAAUGUUUCCCGAUGCAUUGGUGUUAUUGCCAGCUACUGCAUAUUUGUAAUUUCGUAGUGAGUUUACAUUUUCUGUUUUUCGAAGUGGUGCACAGCUAGGCUGUUUUUUAUUAUACAGAGAGCCUUGCAAGUUGUCCACGUGUUAUACGCUGAGCCACGUGACAGCCUGAAAUGAUCAUUCUGAAGAAUCGUUGCGUUUCAGCGCCUAAGCCUGACUUCAUAAGCGGCUCGAUGGAUGAGGUCUGCAGGAAGCCUAAUUCUUCACCAGAACUAUGGAUUAAUGCUGGCCCAAGGAAGUUCUUCAGCAGGGAAUCCAGUGAUCAGAGGAUGGGGAGUAAGAGAAGGACGCUCACUGACAGCAGGAGGACAAGAUCAAACAUUCUUCCCUCCAUCUUCUGCUGCCGGCUGAAGUGCUGCGAAUUUGCUGCCUGGGUAUUUUUUUUUUACUUGAAAUCAGAGGCUCACGUUUGCCGUCGUUGGCGGUAAUUUAGUUUUGGCGCCCAGCCUCGUGGUUCCCUUUUACGGGGAGGCUCGCGCUUGGAGGGGUCGUCAUUAAUUGGAUGGGUUUUUUUUGUUUGCACCCAGGGUAACUGGGAAGCAGCUUAGAACGCACAAGCACAGCCGAUUCCAACAUCGGCGAAUGAGGAACGUGCACGCUGAGAUGCGCUAUGCAGCCUAAACAGGCCUACAUCUGCACAGCAUGUGUGGACACAUGCAGUCUCGACACAUAUCCCGUACUCUGCGACUAUCGCUUUAGUACCAGGUUGAGUAAUCCUUGCCUUUGUGGCCCUGCUGGUGGCUUGGCGGCUGUUUUUCACUUAGUAGCUAAUGUGCGACACCACGUUAAAUGACUUUCACUCAAUUUUUGUACUGCAUUCAAAUACGCUGUAUGGUUUUAAGGGUGAUGUAUGAGGUUUGGUGAAAAAAAGACACUUUGCACUUGUCGUGUUGAAAUUUCCCCUUUAAGUCUACCACCAUAGACCUUGGAAGCCCUGACUAUGCUCAACCUAUGAUGUGGAUCGCACGUUGUUAAUGUUUAAUGGUUGGCUCUACUCAUGUUGCCAUAGACCUCCAAGAGGAAGAAAGAGGAAGCUGAUUGGUCGAAAGACCUGCGUGCGGGCAGCAGAUGGGCUCUGUGUAGCACGCUGGUGAUUGUCUCUUAUGGCUGCCGUGCAUGAAGGCCAAGCGCAUUGAUCUGGUGGGGCAUCUUCCCUGGGGAGGCAGGCGGUUAUCUUGUCAAAGGCAAAAGGACAUCUGCAAGGUUGUGCUGCCCAAGCUCCAUGCCAUGACAACCAUGCUCUCCAGCCUUCAUAUCUGAGAGUUUGGAUUUUAUCAAUGGAUUUUAUCAGUUUAAACUAACUAGAUAUUCUACUAAAUGUUCAGGUUCUCUAUCUUGGAGUGCCAGAACAUAAUGCUGCAACCUUUUGGCUGUGUUCAAUUUCUUACCAUUGUGGUGUUGCUAAUUUUCCCAGUUGGCCACUGGAUCCAUUGUUGUUACAACACCAAGUUAUUUUAAGAAAUUAGGCAAGGCCU